rnacentral:lncRNA from 10 species
AAAACAGGCAGAAGAAAGUGGGAGAGGGUGACUUGCUGAGUCUUCCAGCCCUCACCUUUCUCCCAUGCUGGGUGCUUCCUGCCCUCGAAUAUCAGACUGCAAGUUCUUCAGCUUUUGGACUCUUGGACUAACACCACUGGUUUGCCAGGGGCUCUCGAGCCUUCAGCCACGGCUGAAGGCUGCACUGUCAGCUUCCCUACUUUUGAGGUAUGGACUCAGACUGAUCCACUACCGGCUUCCUUGCUCCUCAACAUGCAGAUGGUCUAUCAUGGGACUUUACUUCGUGAUCAUGAUGACAAUUUGCUACACCAACAAUAGAAAACUAACACAGACAUUAUUCUGUGAUAUGAUCACAAAAUUUUCUACAACUUGAGAGAAAUUGAACUGGAAAAUCAUAAGCUUCAUGGAAGAGUGGGAGUUUUCAUCAUUUAUAUUUAUAUGAAGAAUGUCUAGCAAGACCUUAAAUGAUGACAAAUGGCAACACUACUAAAAUUUUACCCAAUCAGAAGUUUCAUGCCCUAGAGCUCUAUUGGAAAGAAAAUGGCUUAUCAGGAAAAAAGUUCCACUUAUGGACAACUCAUUCCAUCUUCAAUGAUGAAGACAGACUUUGGGGAAAAAGAGAAAAUCACUUGGAACCACUCAAAAGAAUCCAUUGCUUUUAUAAGUUGAAUUAUAAUAAAUAAGCUUUCCAAAGAAAACUAGA